rnacentral:rRNA from 1 species
GAGUUUGAUCGCUGGCUCAGUGGAUGGACGCUGGCGGUAUGCCUAAUACAUGCAAGUCGAACGCAUUCGUCGUUUUAGAUUGACGGUGCUUGCACCAGAUUGAAAAGACAUUUGAAUGAGUGGCGGACGGGUGAGUAACACGUGGGUAACCUGCCCAAAAGUGGGGGAUAACAUUUGGAAACAAAUGCUAAUACCGCAUAAAAGAUUAGAACCGCAUGGUUCUAAUUUGAAAGAUGGUUUCGGCUAUCACUUUUGGAUGGACCCGCGGCGUAUUAGUUAGUUGGUGAGGUAAUGGCUCACCAAGACGAUGAUACGUAGCCGAACUGAGAGGUUGAUCGGCCACAAUGGGACUGAGACACGGCCCAUACUCCUACGGGAGGCAGCAGUAGGGAAUCUUCCACAAUGGGCGCAAGCCUGAUGGAGCAAUACCGCGUGAGUGAAGAAGGGUUUCGGCUCGUAAAACUCUGUUGUUGGAGAAGAACGUAUGUGAUAGUAACUGAUCAUGUAGUGACGGUAUCCAACCAGAAAGCCACGGCUAACUACGUGCCAGCAGCCGCGGUAAUACGUAGGUGGCAAGCGUUAUCCGGAUUUAUUGGGCGUAAAGCGAGCGCAGGCGGUUUUUUAAGUCUGAUGUGAAAGCCCUUGGCUCAACCAAGGAAGUGCAUCGGAAACUGGAGAACUUGAGUGCAGAAGAGGACAGUGGAACUCCAUGUGUAGCGGUGAAAUGCGUAGAUAUAUGGAAGAACACCAGUGGCGAAGGCGGCUGUCUGGUCUGUAACUGACGCUGAGGCUCGAAAGCAUGGGUAGCGAACAGGAUUAGAUACCCUGGUAGUCCAUGCCGUAAACGAUGAAUGCUAGGUGUUGGAGGGUUUCCGCCCUUCAGUGCCGCAGCUAACGCAUUAAGCAUUCCGCCUGGGGAGUACGACCGCAAGGUUGAAACUCAAAGGAAUUGACGGGGGCCCGCACAAGCGGUGGAGCAUGUGGUUUAAUUCGAAGCAACGCGAAGAACCUUACCAGGUCUUGACAUCUAGCGCCAAUCCUAGAGAUAGGACGUUCCCUUCGGGGACGCUAAGACAGGUGGUGCAUGGUUGUCGUCAGCUCGUGUCGUGAGAUGUUGGGUUAAGUCCCGCAACGAGCGCAACCCUUAUUAUUAGUUGCCAGCAUUCAGUUGGGCACUCUAGUGAGACUGCCGGUGACAAACCGGAGGAAGGUGGGGACGACGUCAAAUCAUCAUGCCCCUUAUGACCUGGGCUACACACGUGCUACAAUGGACGGUACAACGAGUUGCGAACUCGCGAGAGUAAGCUAAUCUCUUAAAGCCGUUCUCAGUUCGGACUGUAGGCUGCAACUCGCCUACACGAAGUCGGAAUCGCUAGUAAUCGCCGGGAAUCAGCAUGCCGCGGUGAAUACGUUCCCGGGCCUUGUACACACCGCCCGUCACACCAUGAGAGUUUGUAACACCCAAAGUCGGUGGGGUAACCUUUUAGGAGCCAGCCGCCUAAGGUGGGACAGAUGAUUAGGGUGAAGUCGUAACAAGGUAGCCGUAA